rnacentral:rRNA from 1 species
UACAGAGGGUGCAAGCGUUGCUCGGAAUCAUUGGGCGUAAAGGGUAGGUAGGUGGUCUGAUUUUGUCUGUUUGGUGAAAGCCUGGGGCUUAACCCCAGAAGUGCCGCGGAAACGGUCAGACUUGGAGUACUGGAGAGGUAAGCGGAAUUCCCGGUGUAGCGGUGAAAUGCGUAGAGAUCGGGAGGAACACCCGUAGCGAAGGCGGCACUCUGGGCCGGUACUGACGCUGAGGAGCGAAAGCGUGGGGAGCAAACAGG